AAUAGUUUUAUGCCACAUCAGUAUUUUUAUCCUGAAUUUUAGUAUUUUAAUUUGGAUUUGAUUUUUUUCAGGAUAAAAUCCUGAAAUUCAGGAUAAGAGUACUGAUGUGGCAUAAAACUAUU
rnacentral:pre_miRNA from 1 species